GAGCGCGCCUUUCGGGGUGAGCGGCGGACGGGUUAGUAACGCGUGGGAAUAUACCCUUUGGUACGGAAUAGCCUCUGGAAACGGAGAGUAAUACCGUAUGAGCCCUUCGGGGGAAAGAUUUAUCGCCAAAGGAUUAGCCCGCGUUAGAUUAGGUAGUUGGUGGGGUAAUGGCCUACCAAGCCUACGAUCUAUAGCUGGUUUUAGAGGAUGAUCAGCAACACUGGGACUGAGACACGGCCCAGACUCCUACGGGAGGCAGCAGUGGGGAAUCUUGGACAAUGGGGGCAACCCUGAUCCAGCCAUGCCGCGUGAGUGAUGAAGGCCUUAGGGUCGUAAAGCUCUUUCGCCUGUGAAGAUAAUGACGGUAGCAGGUAAAGAAACCCCGGCUAACUCCGUGCCAGCAGCCGCGGUAAUACGGAGGGGGUUAGCGUUGUUCGGAAUUACUGGGCGUAAAGCGCACGUAGGCGGACCAGAAAGUUGGGGGUGAAAUCCCGGGGCUCAACCCCGGAACUGCCUCCAAAACUAUUGGUCUAGAGUUCGAGAGAGGUGAGUGGAAUUCCGAGUGUAGAGGUGAAAUUCGUAGAUAUUCGGAGGAACACCAGUGGCGAAGGCGGCUCACUGGCUCGAUACUGAC
rnacentral:rRNA from 1 species